rnacentral:rRNA from 1 species
AGCGAACGCUGGCGGCGUACUUAACACAUGCAAGUCGAGUGCGUAGCCCUUUGUAGCAAUACAGAGGGUGGGCGCACGGCGCACGGGUGAGUAACACGUGGGUAACCUGCCCUUCGGUGGGGAAUAACCCGCGAAAGCGGGGCGUAAUUCCGCAUAACAUUCCGGGGACGACAUGUUCUCGGACUCAAAGGAGUGAUUCGCCGGAGGAGGGGCCCGGCGCCCGACUUAGCUUGUUGGUAGGGUAACGGCCUACCAAGGC